CCUUAACGAGGAGGCUUGCCUCCGAAGUGAGUGAUACCCAGCUUCCAGGAAAAGCCACUAAGCUUCAGCUGCACACGACCGUACCGCAAACCGACACUGGUGCGCGAGAUGAGUAUUCUCAGGCGCUUGAGAGAACUCGGGAGAAGGAACUCGGCAAAUUGACACCGUAACUUCGGAAGAAGGUGUGCCUUUAGUAGGUGAACCCGUACAGGGGGAGCCCAAUGAGGUUGCAAAGAAUCGGUGGCUGCGACUGUUUAAUAAAAACACAGCACUCUGCAAACACGAAAGUGGACGUAUAGGGUGUGACGCCUGCCCGGUGCUGGAAGAUUAAGUGAUGGGGUGCAAGCUCUUGAUCGAAGUCCCAGUAAACGGCGGCCGUAACUAUAACGGUCCUAAGGUAGCGAAAUUCCUUGUCGGGUAAGUUCCGACCUGCACGAAUGGCGUAACGAUGGCCACACUGUCUCCUCCCGAGACUCAGCGAAGUUGAAAUGUUUGUGAUGAUGCAAUCUCCCCGCGGAAAGACGGAAAGACCCCAUGAACCUUUACUGUAGCUUUGUAUUGGACUUUGAACGGAUCUGUGUAGGAUAGGUGGGAGGCUUUGAAGCAGGGUCGCUAGAUCUUGUGGAGCCAACGUUGAAAUACCACCCUGGUGCGUUUGAGGUUCUAACCUAGGCCCGUUAUCCGGGUCGGGGACAGUGCAUGGUAGGCAGUUUGACUGGGGCGGUCUCCUCCCAAAGCGUAACGGAGGAGUUCGAAGGUACGCUAGUUACGGUCGGACAUCGUGACGAUAGUGCAAUGGCAUAAGCGUGCUUAACUGCGAGACUGACAAGUCGAGCAGAUGCGAAAGCAGGACAUAGUGAUCCGGUGGUUCUGUAUGGAAGGGCCAUCGCUCAACGGAUAAAAGGUACUCUGGGGAUAACAGGCUGAUACCGCCCAAGAGUUCAUAUCGACGGCGGUGUUUGGCACCUCGAUGUCGGCUCAUCUCAUCCUGGGGCUGUAGCCGGUCCCAAGGGUAUGGCUGUUCGCCAUUUAAAGAGGUACGUGAGCUGGGUUUAAAACGUCGUGAGACAGUUUGGUCCCUAUCUUCCGUGGGCGCUGCAGAUUUGAGGAAGCCUGCUCCUAGUACGAGAGGACCGGAGUGGACGCACCUCUGGUGUACCUGUUGUCACGCCAGUGGCAUUGCAGGGUAGCUAAGUGCGGAAGAGAUAACCGCUGAAAGCAUCUAAGCGGGAAACUCGUUUCAAGAUGAGAUCUGCCGGGGCCUUGAGCCCCCUGAAGAGUCGUUCUAGACCAGGACGUUGAUAGGCUGGGUGUGGAAGCGCAGUAAUGCGUUAAGCUAACCAGUACUAAUUGCUCGUGCGGCUUGACC
rnacentral:rRNA from 1 species